CAGAAACAGAGCCUCUGAUUGGUUAACAGACUGAACCCAAGGCAUCAGUGAAUAACUAAGAGCAAUGUUCACAGCAACAAUGACUCUUUUCAGCACAGAGAAACCGAUAAAUAAGGAGACAUUGAAUUUGUCAUCAUAGAUUUAUUUAAAAAAAAAAGUCAGUGCAGUUCAAGUCUGGAUUCUUGAAAGGGGGACAUAAUCACACUGGAGUGCCCACUGGAACAGUACAACACUGCCUUUCCAGAAAAAAAAAUAAAAGUUGUAGCGCAGGUAGGCGGAAGAGGUCGGCUCGCAGCUGUGAAGAGCUGAUGACAGCUGUGGCCCUGCCCACCAGGUUUUGAGGUUAAAAUCCUGAUGGAAAAUCAUCCAAUCGGGAUUGUUCUCUCUGUGGUCUGUAGGGAAAUAAAGCUGAGCUGCUCACGCAUAAGUUAGGACUUCAGCAGCUGGACUGAAGGUCUUACAUGUCAGAUGAACUACCAACUUAAUUACGAAGUGACAGAAGAACCAACCAGACCAUGUGAUUUCAGACACUUUUGUGGAACAUCAAGAUGUCACUGACGACACACAGACAUUGUCGAGGACAUGGCCUGGUGCAGACUACUCCGAACAGAGCCCCUCCUACUCUCUGACUGUGCAGGCGUCCCAGCCUGAGCCAACUUUCACUUACCUGCGCUGCUUAAUGCACUCCGAGAUGUGGAAAGAUUCCUGCUAGAACCUCGUCUCCUUGGUUUGUAUCCUGAAUUCUUCUCAUGAUCUUUUCC
ensembl:lncRNA